rnacentral:tRNA from 1 species
AAAUAAGAAGCAAUAUUUGCAUUUAAUUUCGACUUAAAAAUAGAGAAUUUAUUUUCUCCUUAUUU